UUAGAAUCCCAGUGCAGUUCGCGCAAAACUGUUGAAUAAUUGUUCGCUUGUUGUUACUUCCGUUAAGAAACAGAUAAAGUGUACAAAGUGAAAGUUGACAUUCAAGAGGACCUAAUUUGACACAUUAGAAAUGCGGCAGUGUUUGUCAAAGAAAGAAUGAAUCACUUAGAAAUGCAACAAGGGCUCUUUUCAGAUUAUGUAAAAUAGUAAUUGUUAAAACAGAGCUAUAAAUAAAACCAUUUUCAUUUAGGAAA